UAUACACAGGAAAGACAAAACCAUGGCAUCACAUGCUAUUAAAUGUUUAAUCUUAUUUAGAUUAAGCUCUCAAAACAACUUACACCAAGGAGAGUGGAAAUACUAGUUUACACACAUCUGCUGAAUGCUUUGACUCAAAUUAAAAUUGCCAAUAAAAUACAUAAUUUAAUGCAUUUGUUUAUACCUACAUCUUGAAAUAUUCAGUUAACAAUCAGUCAAAAUAUUUCGAAUAAUUGAGAAUAAAACAAUACAACUUUAAUAGUUUAACUGACAAAUAUCAAUAAUAUUAUCAGUCUAAGUAAUGGAAUGUUGUCUUAUGAUCUUUACAUUUUUAAAGUGAAUCACAUAUUUAAUUAAAGUACUUUACAUUUGAAUAACUCUUGGUUUAUGUAAUCCAUUUUAAAUCACUUAAUUACAUUAAGCCUCACCUGACUAAAAAUAGGCGUAUUAAAUGUAACUCCAAAUUAAAAUUCGUGCAGCUAUUAAUUGUAGAGUUUAACUUUUGCAUUCCAUUCAUUUUAAAUUCGAAUAAAUGGGAACCCUUAGUUUAAAAAAAAUACUUGUUUGAAUAACAACCAUAUACGUCGAUGAUAACGACCCAAACUUAAGAAAACUGAUGUAAAUAACUGUCCUGAAUUCACUGACCGUGCUAAACUUCUUAAACAGCUCCAUAUUCUCACCUUUUAUACCUUGAUAAUACCUGACUGUAGCACCAAAAAACUCGAAGAGAGAUGUCAGUUUCAUGUUAGCAGCACCUUUCCUUCCUCUCACCACCUCAUCAUGACGUUUUCAUAUUUUUAGAUGUUUAAUCAGGUUUGUGGUGUCACUUCAUCUCAGAAUAUCUGUCAAUUUCUCAGUUUAGACCAUGGAAUAGACAGAAGGGAGCGCAGUGUGCGCCCCUAGUGGCGGCUUAAUGUAUUUAUAUUGUGACAAUCACGCACCACUGUUGGCGGAAGAAGAAGUAGUUCUCACCAGAGAAAAAUCAUUUUUGGAAAAUGUCCCAACAUUUUAUAAAAUAAAAUUACUCAGAAAUCGGCACGUUAAUGAUGGAAUCAAGUCCAAAACAAAAAUAUCUAGAAUCGGAUGAAUCAAUAUUUUAGUAUCGAUCCGCACAUCCCAGCUGCUUUUUCUCAUUUUGUAAACAGUCAUGUCGGAUGACACAUUGCGUGCAACCCGCCUGCACAAUGACGAAGACACGUUUCUUGGUUUCUCGCAGGGUGCCAUAAGACCCCAAAUAGAUGAUGAAGAAGACACAUAUCGUCGUCGUGGAAGAGAUAUUAGUCUGUUUGAGUAGGGUCAAAUCAUUAUCAUGCAUCAAGCAGAGAAAAAAAUCUAAGGAGAUUACAGAAACUACUAAAAUUGGGUUAAGAACUUUCCAACGCGUUAUUAAAAACUGGAAGGAUAACGAGGACCCAUCGUCUUCGAGGAAGAACUGUGGCUGGAAAAAAAUCCUGAAUGAUCGUGAUCGGCGAUCACUUUAAUGUUUGGUGAAAUGUAAUCGAAGAAAAGCAACAGUAGAGCUCAGGGCUAUGUUUAAUAGCGGCAUCUCCACAAUGCGAAGGGAACUCAAGGACCUGGGACUGAACAGCUGUGUAGCUGUAAGAAAACCACUCAGCACUUCGCAACUCUGCAGCAUCUCAGCAUCUCAGCUUUAGCAAAGCACUAUGGAAACAUCAACUCCACACGUAAGGAGGACGGACCAACUCUAGACUUGCACAGUCUGACAUCUGAAACGCCUGAGCUCUCAUCAGUUGAGACCAACUUGAAAAAAUAAAGUAAAAUAUUGAUCAUAUAACUUAGAAGUCUGUUUAUACAUCCCAAUUUCAAUAGCCAACUACUGUACAUGUAAUGUUCAGGUUUGAAAUUGUGAAUAUUUAAUUCAGUCCAGAUUCAGUUCAGUUUAUGCAUAUAGCACCACAUCACAAUGAGUCAUCUCAAGUCACUUCACAAAGCAAGCAUUCCAAUACAAUUCAGUUCAUUAAGCCAAUCAGUAAAAAGUUUCCUAUAUAAGGAACCCAGCAGAUUGCAUCAAGUCACUGACUAGUGUCAGAGUCUUUACAGCCAUCCUCAUAUUAAGCAAGCAUGUAGUGACUGUGGAGAGGAUACAUAGCAUUUUUGUUUUGGGAAAAACAUGGGAUGGCAAAAUUGUUAUAUUUUCUCAUUAAAUUGGAAUUUAAACUGUUCAAAAGUAGACUAAUAAUGGAACAGCCAAACAGGUAGCUAGUGUUUAAACUUGACAGCAACAGGGCAUUCAGUGUGAUCCUCCUGUUAUACAGAACCACCUGGAUUAAAACAAACAACAACAAAAAAGCAGUAAUUGUGUUUACAAAGUAAAAUUAGUCUAAACAUUAUGAGCUGGAAUUUGCUAUUUAAUCAUUUAACAAAUAUGGGCUUUAUUUAGGCACAAAUAAAACACAUGGUACUUAUUCAUUUGAUUUAGACUUUUUUAAACAGAUUAAUUCUUUUUAGAUUUCAGUCAGCCACAAAACAACCACUGCAUGUCAAAUUAGACUUUUUACAUAGUUAAGUUGUGUUUUUCUAAUUCUAGUCCUUGGGAACCACUGACCUGUUAAUAUUCCAGUUUAACUCUAUGUAAUAAAACGAAGAAGCUUCCCAGAGACAGGAAAAGGAAAUCAAAGGUUUUAAAUUUAAAUAACAGUUCUGAUUUUUCAAAAUGAUUAAUUUAUUUUGAAAAUUGAAUGAAAAAGAAACUGAUUUCAGUUUGAUUUACACAAUACUUGAAAACUAUACAAUAAAUAAACAAACUGAAUCUUAGAAGCAGGUUAUGCAUGACCAUAAAUCGAGUUUGUCUUCAUUAUUGCUUGGCAGAUAUUUUAAGUCUAGUUAAAAUAAAAAACACACCACUGUUACCAGGGCCGGCCCAAGCCAUUGAGGGGCCCUAUGCAGGUUUUCUUGUAAGUGGUAUAUUAAACUAUUUUAAAGCAACAUCAGCAAAAAAACACAACAUUUACAGCAAACAAGCCAAGUUUACUAUUUUUUUGUUCUUAAAAUUUGGAACAGAUGUGAAUAAAAUGUUCAAUCACUAUAAAUUAAACCAAAGGCACAAUAUAAAUGACACAGUACAAAAUAAUAUAUUAACAAUUUCUCCAAAUUUAAUAUAAUUUAGUUUUUUUUAAUUAAAAGUUGGUAAAAAUCUGUAAAUGCUAUCUUGGUGCUCUUAGGGGUGCCCUGGUGGCACAGUGGCCCCAAGCAGUCACUUACCUUGAAUAUGCCUAGGGCUGGCUCUGACAGUGACAUCAUGCUAAGCUACUCUUAUAGAAAUGAUUUGCACUAGCCUAGCAUAGCAGGCUGUAUUAGCAUUAGCCAGACUAAGCAUUAGUACCGUCAUCGUUCUGUCGUGCCACUUCACUCAUUUAAAAAGAAGAUGAACUAAGUUAAAUUAAGGACAGAAAGUCACUGAAAAUGAACUUACCCAGAAUGUUUAGCUAAUGCUAACUUGGGGAAAUUUUAGCUCUCACUGAUUGAUUUGAUUCUGUUUCCCUGCCCUCUCCUUCCUCUGCUCCAUUCUCGCCUCUGCAGCAGAGAUUUAAUCAGAACAACCUGCAAGAAGUGCUUCAAAGUCACACGUGAGAGAGGAGAGUUGUACACUUGUAAGAGAAGAGCUGAGCAUGCAUAGAAACAGAUCUGUAGACUUGUGUUCACAAACUUGUAGUUGAAAAUGUAACAACAUUGUUUUAUUUCACAUGCAUGUCCGUUUUUCUUACAAGUACAUAUUUCUCUUUACAAAUUUACAUGUGUUGAUGUGCAGCUUCUCACACUGUACUGCACACACACACACACACACACACACACACACACAUCUGAGUUUUCAAGCUCACAUCAUGUUGCACAAACACAACAGAUGUACAAGUUCGGACACUUUGAACGACAACGACCUUCAUAUUUAUUCCUUAAUGAAUAAAAUCAUCAUUUGAAAACUG